GUGGCUUCCAGCAGCCCCUCUGCAGACCCAUCUGCACUUCAGUCCCUGCUGCCGGAGUUGUCCUGAAGAGGACAGCCCUGUGGAUGAGCUACAUGAGCCUCGUAAAUCCUUACGGGCAUGUAAGGCCACAGCACUGCCACUGCCCGAGCACCCAGUCAUGGCCCAAGGCCCUUCUCUGCACCAGAACUGAAGAACUUUCUGGAGUUUGCAUGGAGGAGAGAACAAAGUGUGUGCUCUCACUGCAGAUGCAGUGCUGGGCAAGGUCCCUGACACAUUGAUUCCAGUGAAUUCUUCUCAUGCCUGAGAAAAACAAACGCAAAUCUCCCACCUGCCGUCCACCAGUGGAGAACUGGAAGCAGAACUAUCAACUUAUCAUGCGAGUGGACACACUGUCCAUCAGCAGCCACCAAAAACCCAAGCCUAGACAUAGCUAAUUACACCACCAGAAAGCCUGGGGAGCUCCGGAGGGCAGCAGCCGCAGCCCUGCCCCGCGUCCUGCAGCUCCACCAGCACCGUCAGGCACCGCGAGCAAGGAGACAAAGGAAAGUAAGAGCAGAGCAGCUGCAGCACCAAUGACCUUCCACCCCUCCAGGUUUUAGGAAUUCUUUUAUUAUACAGAAAAUACAGAUUUUAAAGCCUUUGUGGAUGAGCGUACAGUCUUUAUUUCCAUCUGUUAUUUUAGGUGAUCAAAAAGUAAAAGAUGUGUCAGAUUCCAGAGCAGACUUGAGGCAACAGUAAAUGGAGCAGUGGCUCCCACACUACUACCACCAAACAUGGAUUUUUUUAAACCUGUGUUUUUUUCGUCAUCUAAUCCAACUGUAAUUGUACCUGGGCCACCAUCGCAUGCAGCCCCUCUCCAGUCAGGCAGGUGGACGCACACAAACCCAGGUCACGCUGAAUGCGGGUGUUACCGUUGAUAAGAAAUGGCUGAAUAAAUAAGACUUCAAAUUUUCAUUUGUUUGUUUUUGCUAUUACCAUUGCAUGAAAACCAUUGACUAGUAACCAGAAGGACACUUUGCAUUUCAGUUGCUGCAAAGGGCCAGCUUCCCCUCCCCACAGGCAGCUCGGCAUUGCCAGAGCCCUGCGGCACAGAGGACGGCCCCAUCCCAUCCCUGUGAGCUGCACUCUGAAACCUGCCAGCCAGAAAAGCACUGCUCCAGACCCAGAUGCACCAACUGAGCAGAUCAUAC
rnacentral:lncRNA from 1 species